GACGAACGCUGGCGGCGUGCCUAAUACAUGCAAGUAGAACGCUGAAGGAGGAGCUUGCUUCUCUGGAUGAGUUGCGAACGGGUGAGUAACGCGUAGGUAACCUGCCUGGUAGCGGGGGAUAACUAUUGGAAACGAUAGCUAAUACCGCAUAAUAUUGACUAUUGCAUGAUAGUCAGUUGAAAGGUGCAACUGCACCACUACCAGAUGGACCUGCGUUGUAUUAGCUAGUUGGUGGGGUAACGGCUCACCAAGGCGACGAUACAUAGCCGACCUGAGAGGGGGAUCGGCCACACUGGGACUGAGACACGGCCCAGACUCCUACGGGAGGCAGCAGUAGGGAAUCUUCGGCAAUGGACGGAAGUCUGACCGAGCAACGCCGCGUGAGUGAAGAAGGUUUUCGGAUCGUAAAGCUCUGUUGUAAGAGAAGAACGAGUGUGAGAGUGGAAAGCUCACACUGUGACGGUAUCUUACCAGAAAGAGACGGCUAACUACGUG
rnacentral:rRNA from 1 species